rnacentral:rRNA from 1 species
UACGAAGGGGGCUAGCGUUGCUCGGAAUUACUGGGCGUAAAGGGCGCGUAGGCGGCCUGUUAAGUCGAACGUGAAAUCCCCGGGCUCAACCCGGGAACUGCGUCCGAUACUGGCAGGCUUGAAUCCGGGAGAGGGAUGCGGAAUUCCAGGUGUAGCGGUGAAAUGCGAAGAUAUCUGGAGGAACACCGGUGGCGAAGGCGGCAUCCUGGACCGGUAUUGACGCUGAGGCGCGAAAGCCAGGGGAGCAAACGGG